UUGAAGAGUUUGAUCAUGGCUCAGAUUGAACGCUGGCGGCAGGCCUAACACAUGCAAGUCGAACGGUAACAGGAAGCAGCUUGCUGCUUUGCUGACGAGUGGCGGACGGGUGAGUAAUGUCUGGGAAACUGCCCGAUGGAGGGGGAUAACUACUGGAAACGGUAGCUAAUACCGCAUAACGUCGCAAGACCAAAGAGGGGGACCUUAGGGCCUCUUGCCAUCGGAUGUGCCCAGAUGGGAUUAGCUAGUAGGUGGGGUAAAGGCUCACCUAGGCGACGAUCCCUAGCUGGUCUGAGAGGAUGACCAGCCACACUGGAACUGAGACACGGUCCAGACUCCUACGGGAGGCAGCAGUGGGGAAUAUUGCACAAUGGGCGCAAGCCUGAUGCAGCCAUGCCGCGUGUAUGAAGAAGGCCUUCGGGUUGUAAAGUACUUUCAGCGGGGAGGAAGGGAGUAAAGUUAAUACCUUUGCUCAUUGACGUUACCCGCAGAAGAAGCACCGGCUAACUCCGUGCCAGCAGCCGCGGUAAUACGGAGGGUGCAAGCGUUAAUCGGAAUUACUGGGCGUAAAGCGCACGCAGGCGGUUUGUUAAGUCAGAUGUGAAAUCCCCGGGCUCAACCUGGGAACUGCAUCUGAUACUGGCAAGCUUGAGUCUCGUAGAGGGGGGUAGAAUUCCAGGUGUAGCGGUGAAAUGCGUAGAGAUCUGGAGGAAUACCGGUGGCGAAGGCGGCCCCCUGGACGAAGACUGACGCUCAGGUGCGAAAGCGUGGGGAGCAAACAGGAUUAGAUACCCUGGUAGUCCACGCCGUAAACGAUGUCGACUUGGAGGUUGUGCCCUUGAGGCGUGGCUUCCGGAGCUAACGCGUUAAGUCGACCGCCUGGGGAGUACGGCCGCAAGGUUAAAACUCAAAUGAAUUGACGGGGGCCCGCACAAGCGGUGGAGCAUGUGGUUUAAUUCGAUGCAACGCGAAGAACCUUACCUGGUCUUGACAUCCACGGAAGUUUUCAGAGAUGAGAAUGUGCCUUCGGGAACCGUGAGACAGGUGCUGCAUGGCUGUCGUCAGCUCGUGUUGUGAAAUGUUGGGUUAAGUCCCGCAACGAGCGCAACCCUUAUCCUUUGUUGCCAGCGGUCCGGCCGGGAACUCAAAGGAGACUGCCAGUGAUAAACUGGAGGAAGGUGGGGAUGACGUCAAGUCAUCAUGGCCCUUACGACCAGGGCUACACACGUGCUACAAUGGCGCAUACAAAGAGAAGCGACCUCGCGAGAGCAAGCGGACCUCAUAAAGUGCGUCGUAGUCCGGAUUGGAGUCUGCAACUCGACUCCAUGAAGUCGGAAUCGCUAGUAAUCGUGGAUCAGAAUGCCACGGUGAAUACGUUCCCGGGCCUUGUACACACCGCCCGUCACACCAUGGGAGUGGGUUGCAAAAGAAGUAGGUAGCUUAACCUUCGGGAGGGCGCUUACCACUUUGUGAUUCAUGACUGGGGUGAAGUCGUAACAAGGUAACCGUAGGGGAACCUGCGGUUGGAUCACCUCCUU
rnacentral:rRNA from 1 species